ensembl:lncRNA
CCGUGAGACGCAAUUAUGCAGACAUCUUCCUGAUGAUGUUGCCCCAACGAUGGGUAGAAGACGUGAAUACUGAGUGUCUUUGUCAUAAUUGUUUGGGAUUAGAAAUGCAUGGAGUCUGAGAUUACGUGUUGGCAGGGUGAUUCAUUUCAAUCUUGAAUUGCAUUCAGAGUCUUAUCUAGUGCGGUGAUGUGUCUCUCUGUGCCUCCGUCCAUCCAUCAGACUGCGAGAAGAAAGGAAUCCAGGGCGCUAGGUAAUGACGGCGAAGGCCUCAGCCUCAUCUGACAACGGAGACAAGAGAGACUCACCUGUGGACAUACUUAAUAAUCAAGGUCCCCACAAGCGACUGAUGGAGUGGAAGAAACGUUAUCUACGAGGGAGGAAGGGAGACGUCUCGGGCCAUCCAGAGCCACUGAGACAGCUCUGCAGGCAGGACCCAUCCAGCAGCAUAGGACUGUGGAGAACAGGCGGUGUCUGCUGGGAAGCCCGCUGUAUUGUUAUUCUCCCCUGAUGUGCAGUGGAAAGGGGGAGGCAGAGGGGAGGACCUAGCUGCCGGACAGACAGACCACAGUUCCAUUAAGUCUGUUCCAUUGGUCAGAGGCCAGCUUCUCAGACACAGG